GGGGGAACAGCUCAGUGGUAGAGCAUGUGCUUAGCGGGCAUGAGUUCCUGGGUUCAAUCCCCAGUACCUCCA
rnacentral:tRNA from 1 species